rnacentral:lncRNA from 1 species
AGAAGAGCCUGGAAUUGGCCUAUCUGUCUUUUUCCCCGUUGGACCACAGAGCAGAAAGGAAUCUAAGACCUCUAGUACAGUGUUCAAUGGAACUGGUGAGAGAAGACGUCCUUGCUGUGUUCCUUAUAUGAAGAGGAAAGCAGUCCUUCUCCAUUAAAUGCUGACAACAUGAGCCUCCUGUGGUCGGAACAGGCUUGUGAAGGCAGUGCUGGGAUGCACCAGGGCAGGAGCUACAG